rnacentral:sRNA from 1 species
CUUCCACUGAGCGAAGCAUGAAGACAACCCGCCCUAGGUAGAGACAGUCUGUUCAUAGAGACGUGGCGUCGUUAGUUCUAAUUGAAACUCUGCACCCCAGUGUUGUUGUUUUUUCUUCUCUCGGAAUACUUGGCAAUAGCCUUCGAUAAUGGUCUCAAGUGAUGGUUGAUGGUUUAUUUCAUCAUCUUGCUGAAAACGAACAGGAUACGCUAUGCCAUUUCGUUGACUGUGUAAACAAGAGGAUUAGAAAUUCCAAGGAGUUUUACAAUUAUGUAUUAAUGUGUCAUUCAAGUUAUUACAACUAAAAGCGGGUUUGUUUCAAACCCGACUUUACUGAUACAAAAUAAUACUAG